AUAGCCCAGAGCACUGAUGAGAUGAUGGGCAAGCUCCUCCCAGACAGCCAUAUGUCAUCAAGUUCCCUCUGAUUGUAGAGGUGCACCUACGGGGGAAAUGGCUUGAUUUGUACUAUGAGUUGGUUGAGGUCACAGGCAGAGUCGUAAUGGGACUCUAAUGGACUCAAAGCUAUGCUUGGAAAAAGCUGUUUUAAUUGGCUGUGUAACUUUGAUGGACGUAAGCUGAGCACCUGUAGUUGGAAACUUGGAAGACCAAGUUGGGCUGACUGGUACAGAUACAAGGACAUUCAAGAGAAGAAGCUAAGUGUAUGCUGGGCAGUUACGUGAAGGAUGUGGGAACCUGGAAUGGGAUACAAAUUUUUCCAUGACGGGCUCCCUCUUCUUGAUACAGUGGGCACUGGAUGCUUUACUUACAGUCAGAGGCAGUGGGGCUGCACUGAAAAAGCAGGCUGUCCACCCUCGGUUUAUUCCCACAGAUUCUAGCUGCCCCAGAGGGUCCUGUCAACAACUAGAAGGACAGAAAGACACAUCCCAACCACCUGAUGGAACUAAGGACAUCAUGAUCACCUAGAGUGAACUCUGGGUGGCAUGCAAAGUGAAAUUCACGACAUAAAUAUCAGAACCUGCUUUGGGAAUCUGCAAGAACUUUCAUACUUCAACAUUCCGGAAAUAAUUUUUAAAUUUCUUGGGUGACUGAGGAAUCCAUUAUGAAUCCAUUUCUUUCUUUUCAACAAACUGAAUUCCCUGAAACCAGCUGUCCUAACAGGGGGUUAAUUUUCAUUUCCUUUAUUGCAUUUUCAACCAAGUGAUUGUGAGGAGACUGGGAAUAACCAACAAUCCAGGAAAUUCCUCCAGAUGGUCUUAAAGGGCGCCCCCCCCCCGCCCCCCGCCGCCAGUCUUCAAGCCAUUGCUGAUAUGCAGUGAACAAUCAUAUCACACAAUGAACAGACAGAUAUUUACUUGAAAUUGACUGUUAGGGAAGCAACAGGGUUUAGGGUGAAAGGAAAUCAAUUUUGAGAGAUCACAAAAAUGCCAAAUUACAAAAAAAUAAAAAAUAAAACCCCCCAAACAGUAAUUGAGCCGCUGCUUUCUUUGCACUUCAGUCCAAGCUGGAGGGAGGAGGGGUUCUGGUGCUUCUCAAAAAAAUUACUUCUCAUCAGAACUUUCCAUUAAUCAUUCUGCCUGCGGUCAGAAGCCGAGCUGCCAUGGAGGAGUGCAAAGUCCACCUGUAACACAGAGAAUCUUCCAACUUGGGGAUGUGCCGUCAGAGCUCUGGAUGCCAACCACAAUCACCUCUUGCCUUUACAAAGCCUGGUUUGGUUUGCAGAGAGCAUCCUGGAACACUACAUCAUUUGAAAUGUUUUCCAGGUGGUGCCAGUGGUGAAAAAAAAAAAAAAAUCCAGCUGCCAAUAAGGAGACACAGGAGACCUGGGCUCGAUCCCUGGGUUGGGAAGAUCCACUGGAGGAGGGAAUGGCAACUCACUCCAGUAGUCUUGCUUGGGAAAUCCCAUGGACAGAAGAGCUUGGCAGACUACAGUCCAUAGGGUCACAAAGAGUCAGAUAUGACUGAGUACACACGCAGCAGCAAUCUUCUUUCGGUUCACAGGAAACCUCAGCCAGGAGACAACAGCUCCUCCUACGCUACUAACCUGGCAACCACUGUACUUGGAUUUCUGCUGAUCCCUAGCAGUGGGGUGUCUGAGUCUCAGUCAGGAACACAGUGUGUCCUGGGUGGGGAAAGGAGGGAUCACAAGAGUCAACUUCUAUGGAGAGAGGAUCUCUCUGAGUGGAGACUGCAGAAGCAUAAAGACUCCUCUUUGGGGAAGUUGAAGAGAGAGAUUGCAUGGUAAUUGUGGCAGACAUGGUUCUAAAGAGGAUUUGUUUGGAUCAAGAGAGCUGUAUGCUUCUAGACUAAGAGGAAACAAUGUAGGCAGAGAGAAAGGUUGAAGUGGUAGGAUCAGGGGAGGUCUGAGC
ensembl:lncRNA